CAGAAUCGGUGAUGACCACCACCAUGGCCUGGUCUCCUUUCCUUCUCACUCUCCUCGCUCACUGCACAGGGAUUUGGGCUCAGUCGGGGCCGAAUCAACCAUCCUCAGUGUCUGGGGCCCUGGGCCAGAGGGUCACUAUCUCCUGCACUGGAGUUGAUAGUUACGUUGGUUGGUACCAACAAAUCCCAGGAAUGGCCCC